rnacentral:rRNA from 1 species
AAGCGGGGGAUCUUCGGACCUCGCGCUAUUGGAGCGGCCGAUGUCGGAUUAGCUAGUAGGUGAGGUAAAGGCUCACCUAGGCGACGAUCCGUAGCUGGUCUGAGAGGAUGAUCAGCCACACUGGGACUGAGACACGGCCCAGACUCCUACGGGAGGCAGCAGUGGGGAAUUUUGGACAAAUGGGCGCAAGCCUGAUCCAGCCAUGCCGCGUGAGUGAAGAAGGCCUUCGGGUUGUAAAGCUCUUUCAGGUGGAAAGAAAUAGCGCUGUUUAAUAGAUGGCGUUGAUGACGGUACCACCAGAAGAAGCGCCGGCUAACUACGUG